GGGCUUGAAACUCAUAUCAGAACAGUAAAAAUUUUGAAUUUUUUUUUUUAAGAAAUAAAGAACAUUCCUUUAGAUAAAUACUAAAGACAGCCAGGGAUACAAUUUAAACUUCUAUAAGUACACAUACAAAAGAUGCCAUUUUCGCAUGGCUUAUAUACAUUAACCAAAAUAUUCUUCUGCCACUAGUCUAUUCUACACAUGCCAUAAAAUAACCCAAAACAUAACAGUACCAAGCAGUGGAUAGUGAUAGUGUAACAAGUUGCUGACGAUUCCCGAGUCUGUAGCUUCCAAAUGAGAUCUAUAAAACAGAGGAAACAAAGUAAACGGAGUAAGCAUUACAAUGCUUAGUAAGUUUUAAGCAGUGUCAACAGAUAACAAUCAAAUUAUAAUAUGGUUGUUCAUAUUUUUUUAUUUCACUCUUCCUUUGGGUAUAUCAUCCCUUUACCGAAUAUGCACAUCUCAUCAUAUACAAUAGGCAGAUAAACUUUCACCUAAAAGUGAGCUCAUGUAACAUAGAUAUAUUGUAAAAUUUCACAUAACCUUUCACACUGAUCCGAUGCCACAUAAUCAUAGGAAUAGUCUCAUAGAUUGCUCACGUAUGCGUCACAUAACUACCUUAUGAUUUAGAUCAAAUCAAGCUCACAUAUAGACUCGGAGUACAUACCUGUUUAACCUUUCGCAUUGAAUAUAUUUAUAAGCAAUUUUUAUUGCGAAGUCUUAUAGCUUUAAACUCUACUCGGAUUGUCGGCGAGACCUUUAGCUCAGAUGAAAUCUCCACACGAAGUCAACGGGUCUUAACCCGGACAUAGUCACCACAUAUAGUCAUCGGGUCUUAAAUCCCAGAUUUACAUCACAGAGUUUCAUGCAUAUUUAUUCACAUGUUACAGCAUUCACAUCGACUAUCAUAUUUGUAAUUCAUUUGCCUCAUCAAAUAUCUAAUAAAACACACCUUCCAUAGUUUUUCAUUUGGCCACAAUAUAUAUAUACACUUUCACGUUCAUCACAUUGGCCAUUCGGUCUUAUCUCAUAUAUACACAUUCACAUUCAUCACAUAAAAUCCUGAAUCAAAAUAUAAAUUUUCAUAUAUUCACAUCACAAUUAUCCAAAUAUACUUCAUAUCCCACAUAUACUUUCAUGUAUACACUUUGUCUUGGCUGAAUCUACAUCUAUCAUUUUCCAAUGAAUAAUUCAAUUUCAAGCCAUACUAUCAUUUCAUAUUCGAAUACUUAUAAACUUACAAUUUCACAAUUUUUAAUAUCAAAGAUCCAUCUAACACUCAUAUAUCAUUUUAUAAUGUCACAAAUUAGAAUUCACGUAUGGGUUUAAUCAAUAGCUUAUGAGCAACUAAAACAAGUUUUAUCAAUGUUUACAACAUAAUCACAAAUUCUCUACAAGCUGUUUUCCUGAGCAACAGUCGUUAAAUUAUUUGUAACUGGAGCUACGAAACUCCAAAUGAUGUGCCGUUAAUUUUCCAUGAAAAUAGACUCGUAUAUCUUCUAUCCACAAAAUUUUCAGAAUUUUUGGUUUGGCUAAUCAAUACCAGAUUUUUCUUAAAGUUUCCCCCAUUUUACUGCUUGACUAUUCUGACUACUCUUCACUAAGAACUGAAUUUCUCAUUGUACAGAAUUCAAAAUAUGUUUUCGUUUAUUUUGUUUGAAACUAGACUCAUUAAGGAGUCUAAGCAUAUAAAUCUUAUCUUAUAAUCAUUUUUGUACGAUUUAUAAUGAUUUUCCAAAUACUGAACAGGGGAUUUCGGAGCCAUUCUGACUCUGUCUCACACAACUUUAAAAAAAAUCUCAUUAUCGGCAACCCCUUUACUUACACGAUUUCUGUUAUACGAAACUAGACGUAUCAAGCUUUAAUUACAUAAUCUAUUCAGCCUUUAACUCAAUUCCCACAAUUUAUGGUAAUUUUUCCAAAACACGCUACUGCUGCUGUCCCGAGCAGAUUUAUACAAAUUUACUCUGUAAAGUUCUCAUUCACAUAUUUAAAACAUAAUAUCAUAUAUGCCAUCAUUUAGAAAAGUUAUUGACCUUAACGUAUAUACUUAAUUCAUAUUCAUCCCAUUUAAAAACUUAAAACUUACAAAGGAAUCAAACUCAAAUACUUAAGAACUUACCUCGGAAGUUGUCGAACGAUUACAGAUCGACUAUUCGGUUAGGUAGCUUUUUCUCUUAUCCGAAUUAGACUCCCUAAGCUCUUGAGCUUGAAUAAACAAAUUUAAUCUAUUACAAACCAAUUAUACAAACUCAUGGCCGAAUACAACAAGAAGACUAACUAGAUUCUACUAGCCACUCAUUGCUCUAUUAUUAACCUUACUUAAUUAUAAACACAUUCGGCAACUACCUCAACCUUAUUUAAUACAAUUAACGCCGAAUUCCUCAUGUAAAAAGUACCAUUGCCGAAUAUCAUUUAGUUCACAAGGUCCUAAUUUCAAAAAUUUGACAAGCUCAUACCCAUUUCCUACUAAUUCCAUCAUUUUAACACAGGUACGGCAAAGCUAAAUUCCAUUCUUCCAUUAGUUUGCAUUUAACUAAAUCAUGCCUUAAUGUUAAGCACAUUCGACAAUGGUGCAAACAUCAAUUAACAAACAAACAUUAUCAACCCAUUUUUUUUAUUACACGUUUUCCCCAAUUUAACACCCCAAAUUAUCAAACUUUAACAAGUUUAAAACUCAUCUAAUGACCAUUUAUAAACUAAAGCAUCAAUCAUUCAAAUUCAACUCAUCACAACAUGGCCAAAUACACAUUUCUCCUACUUCCAUUCUAAAUAAAAUCUUAUCAAGCUUCCAUCUUCAUUUAACUAUGUACCAUUUAGAACUAUCAAUACUUUACACCCUUUAACAAAUUAUAAUCAAUUGCCAAGUGCAUCUUUGACAAUUUAAACCACACAACUCAAAUUCUUACAAUUUAAGCUUAGAAAUUUCUAUUCAUGUAAAUUUCAGCAACCUAGAGUCCAUUAAACACUCCAAAAUUCCAUUUGAACAACAAUUGUUCAACCUUCUAGCAUAAUUUCAAUCUGGACAGCAAGCAUUAUUUAACAUUCAGACAUCAAAGAACGAAUUUAAUCCUCAUCAAUUCAAUCAAUAUCAAGUGUCCUAAUUUGGACAUUAGUAGUCUUAAAUAAAACCACAACAAAUCAAACUUGAAAAUUUUCACAGUUAAUAUCGUAAAGAAAAAUUUAAAGAACCAACAAGCUUACCAAGAUUUUCCCGCUUCUCCUACCUUCUACCGUCUCCAUUUUUCUUUUUGUUGCAGCCCUCUUCUUCUUCUUCGAUGGAUUACCGAGUUACUUGAAAUUUCAGCUACCUAACUAGCUAAAAUCAUAGUUUUUCCUGCAUGCAUGCGACACCAAGCCUUCUUCCAAUUGGUUUUCCAGCAGAACAAAUAUGGAAGAAAACUAAAACUCCAUUCCCCCUUUCUUUCCAAACGGUGAAGAAAAAUAAAGAAAGUGGAAGAUGAGACCAGUUUUUAUGUUUUAUUCAUUUCAUAUUAU
rnacentral:lncRNA from 1 species